rnacentral:rRNA from 1 species
ACGUAGGGUGCAAGCGUUAUCCGGAAUUAUUGGGCGUAAAGAGCUCGUAGGCGGUUUGUCGCGUCUGUCGUGAAAGUCCGGGGCUCAACUCCGGAUCUGCGGUGGGUACGGGCAGACUAGAGUGAUGUAGGGGAGACUGGAAUUCCUGGUGUAGGGGUGGGAUGCGGAGAUAUCAGGAGGAACACCGAAGGCGAAGGGAGGGCUCUGGGGAUUAACCGGCGCUGGGGAGCGGAAGCAUGGGGAGCGAACAG